ACCAGACUCCUACGGGAGGCAGCAGUGGGGGAUAUUGCACAAUGGGGGGAACCCUGAUGCAGCGACGCCGCGUGGGUGAAGAAGCGCCUCGGCGCGUAAAGCCCUGUCAGCAGGGAAGAAAAUGACGGUACCUGAAGAAGAAGCCCCGGCUAACUACGUGCCAGCAGCCGCGGUAAUACGUAGGGGGCAAGCGUUAUCCGGAUUUACUGGGUGUAAAGGGGGCGCAGACGGCGAUGCAAGCCAGGAGUGAAAGCCCGGGGCCCAACCCCGGGACUGCUCUUGGAACUGCGUGGCUGGAGUGCAGGAGGGGCAGGCGGAAUUCCUGGUGUAGCGGUGAAAUGCGUAGAUAUCAGGAGGAACACCGGUGGCGAAGGCGGCCUGCUGGACUGCAACUGACGUUGAGGCCCGAAAGCGUGGGGAGCAAACAGGAUUAGAUACCCCAGUAG
rnacentral:rRNA from 1 species